rnacentral:rRNA from 1 species
CAGUAGCCGCGGUAAUACAGAGGGUGCAAGCGUUAAUCGGAAUUACUGGGCGUAAAGCGCGCGUAGGUGGUUUGUUAAGUUGGAUGUGAAAGCCCCGGGCUCAACCUGGGAACUGCAUCCAAAACUGGCAAGCUAGAGUACGGUAGAGGGUGGUGGAAUUUCCUGUGUAGCGGUGAAAUGCGUAGAUAUAGGAAGGAACACCAGUGGCGAAGGCGACCACCUGGACUGAUACUGACACUGAGGCACGAAAGCGUGGGGAGCAAACAGGAUUAGAUACCCCAGUAGUCCCUGUCUCUUAUAC